rnacentral:rRNA from 1 species
UACCAGCACCCCGAGUGGUCGGGACGUUUAUUGGGCCUAAAGCAUCCGUAGCAGGUUCUACAAGUCUUCCGUUAAAUCCAGCUGCUUAACAGAUGGGCUGCGGAAGAUACUAUGGAGCUAGGGGGCGGGAGAGGCAAGCGGUACUCGAUGGGUAGGGGUAAAAUCCGUUGAUCCAUUGAAGACCACCAGUGGCGAAGGCGGCUUGCCAGAACGCGCUCGACGGUGAGGGAUGAAAGCUGGGGGAGCAAACCGG